rnacentral:rRNA from 1 species
ACGGUCCUAAGGUAGCGAAAUUCCUUGUCGGGUAAGUUCCGACCUGCACGAAUGGCAUAACGAUGGCCACACUGUCUCCUCCCGAGACUCAGUGAAGUUGAAAUGUUUGUGAUGAUGCAAUCUACCCGCGGCUAGACGGAAAGACCCCAUGAACCUUAACUGUAGCUUUGCAUUGGACUUUGAACCGAUCUGUGUAGGAUAGGCGGGAGGCUUUGAAGAAUGGACGCCAGUUCAUUCGGAGCCGUCGUUGAAAUACCGCCCUGAUUUGUUUGAGGUUCUAACCUGGGCCAGUGAUCCUGGCUGGGGACCGUGCAUGGUGGGCAGUUUGACUGGGGCGGUCUCCUCCUAAAGGGUAACGGAGGAGUACGAAGGUACGCUAGGUACGGUCGGAAAUCGUGCUGAUAGUGCAAUGGCAAAAGCGUGCUUGACUGCGAGAGCAACAACUCGAGCAGAUGCGAAAGCAGGUCAUAGUGAUCCGGUGGCUCUGAAUGGAAGGGCCAUCGCUCAACGGAUAAAAGGUACUCUGGGGAUAACAGGCUGAUACCGCCCAAGAGUUCAUAUCGACGGCGGUGUUUGGCACCUCGAUGUCGGCUCAUCUCAUCCUGGGGCUGUAGUCGGUCCCAAGGGUAUGGCUGUUCGCCAUUUAAAGAGGUACGUGAGCUGGGUUUAAAACGUCGUGAGACAGUUUGGUCCCUAUCUGCCGUGGGCGUUGGAAGAUUGACGGGGGCUGCUCCUAGUACGAGAGGACCGGAGUGGACGCACCUCUGGUGUACCGGUUGUCACGCCAGUGGCAUUGCCGGGUAGCUAAGUGCGGAAGAGAUAACCGCUGAAAGCAUCUAAGCGGGAAACUUGCCUGAAGAUGAGUCUUCCCGGAGGUUGAACCUCCCUCAAGAGUCGUCCGAGACCAGGACGUCGAUAGGUCAGGUGUGUAAGCGCUGUAAGGCGUUGAGCUAACUGAUACUAAUUGCUCGUGAGGCUUGAUCCU